UCUGGUGUCCUAGGCGUAGAGAAACCAUACCAAUCCAUCUCGAACUUGGUGGUUAAGCUCUACUACGGUGACAAUAUUAUAGGGAAGGUCCUACGGAAAAAUAGCUCAACACCAGGA
rnacentral:rRNA from 1 species